CAGCCGCCGCGGUAAUGCGUAGGUGGCAAGCGUUGUCCGGAAUUAUUGGGCGUAAAGGGCUCGCAGGCGGUUUCUUAAGUCUGAUGUGAAAGCCCCCGGCUCAACCGGGGAGGGUCACUGGAAACUGGGAAACUUGAGUGCAGAAGAGGAGAGUGGAAUUCCACGUGUAGCGGUGAAAUGCGUAGAGAUGUGGAGGAACACCAGUGGCGAAGGCGACUCUCUGGUCUGUAACUGACGCUGAGGAGCGAAAGCGUGGGGAGCGAACAGGAUUAGAUACCCCCGUAGUCCCUGUCUCUUAUAC
rnacentral:rRNA from 1 species